rnacentral:lncRNA from 1 species
UCAUAUAGAUUAGAUGUCUUAUUUUUCAUACAAUUUUGUAUCACAUACAACAAACCCAGGAUUUCAAGAUCUAGAGUUUUGCAGAAAAAUAGAUUCUUCUUUUCGUAUUCUUUUUCAUAGAAUAUAAUCACAUGGUAUCCCUACACGUCAUAAGAGCACCCCAUCGAAUAGAAAGAGAGGAUCUUUAAAUCCUUCUUGC